GUGUGAAGAAGGUCUUCGGAUUGUAAAGCACUUUAAGUUGGGAGGAAGCCCAGUAAGCUAAUACCUUGCUGUUUUGACGUUACCGACAGAAUAAGCACCGGCUAACUCUGUGCCAGCAGCCGCGGUAAUACAGAGCCUGCAAGCGUUAAUCGGAAUUACUGGGCGUAAAGCGCGCGUAGGUGGUUUGUUAAGUUGGAUGUGAAAGCCCCGGGCUCAACCUGGGAACUGCAUCCAAACUGGCAGGCUAGAGUACGGUAGAGCCUGGUGGAAUUUCCUGUGUAGCGGUGAAAUGCGUAGAUAUAGGAAGGAACACCAGUGGCGAAGGCGACCACCUGGACUGAUACUGACACUGAGGUGCGAAAGCGUGGCCAGCAAACAGGAUUAGAUACCCUGGUAGUCCACGCCGUAACGAUGUCAACUAGCCGUUGGAAUCCUUGAGAUUUUAGUGGCGCAGCUAACGCAUUAAGUUGACCGCCUGGGGAGUACGGCCGCAAGGUUAAAACUCACAUGAAUUGACGGGGGCCCGCACAAGCGGUGGAGCAUGUGGUUUAAUUCGAAGCAACGCGAAGAACCUUACCAGGCCUUGACAUGCACAGAACUUUCCAGAGAUGGAUUGGUGCCUUCGGGAACUCUGACACAGUGCUGCAUGGUUCUU
rnacentral:rRNA from 1 species